UAUCUCUGUAGAGUCUGCAUAUCAAUAAGCGGAGGAAAAGAAACUAACAAGGAUUCCCCUAGUAACGGCGAGUGAAGCGGGAAGAGCUCAAAUUUGAAAUCUUCAAGGUUCUACCUUGACGAAUUGUAGUUUAAAGAAGUGUUUUCUGUUAGAUGAGUAGCAAAAGUUCCUUGGAAUGGGACAUCAUAGAGGGUGAGAAUCCCGUAUUUGGUUAUUCAUUCUAGCUUUGUGAUACACUUUCAAAGAGUCGGAUUGUUUGGGAAUGCAGUCCAAAAUGGGUGGUAAAUUUCAUCUAAAGCUAAAUAUUGGCGAGAGACCGAUAGCGAACAAGUACCGUGAGGGAAAGAUGAAAAGAACUUUGAAAAGAGAGUUAAACAGUACGUGAAAUUGUCAAAAGGGAAGCGUUUGACACCAGUGUUGUUUUUCCGAAAAUCAAUUACGAAUGGCUUGAUUUUGUGUUGUAUUGACCUUAUCAGCUUUCUUCACUUUUUUCGAGUCUUUCCUAAUGCACUUUUCGGUUAACAAGUCAACACCAAUUCCUUUUGUUGUAAAAGAGUAUUCGGAAGGUGGCUUUCUUUUCGGAGAAAGUGUUUAUAGCCCUAUACUUCUACAAUCGGAGAGAUUGAGGUCUGCAGCGUAGAUCCUUCGGGGUUAGAUACACUUGUGCUAAGUUGUAGCUUUUCAUAGACAACUUGUUGACUAUGUUUAGUCAUGCGGCUUACUCGCUUAUGCUAUUUUACCUACGCUUAGGAUGUUGACUGAUAUGUAGUCGUA
rnacentral:rRNA from 1 species